GACGAACGCUGGCGGCGUGCCUAAUACAUGCAAGUUGAGCGCUGAAGGUUGGUACUUGUACCAACUGGAUGAGCAGCGAACGGGUGAGUAACGCGUGGGGAAUCUGCCUUUGAGCGGGGGACAACAUUUGGAAACGAAUGCUAAUACCGCAUAAAAACUUUAAACACAAGUUUUAAGUUUGAAAGAUGCAAUUGCAUCACUCAAAGAUGAUCCCGCGUUGUAUUAGCUAGUUGGUGAGGUAAAGGCUCACCAAGGCGAUGAUACAUAGCCGACCUGAGAGGGUGAUCGGCCACAGUGGGACUGAGACACGGCCCAAACUCCUAAGGGAGGCAGCAGUAGGGAAUCUUCGGCAAUGGACGAAAGUCUGAACGAGCAACGCCGCGUGAGUGAAGAAGGUUUUCGGAUCGUAAAACUCUGUUGGUAGAGAAGAACGUUGGUGAGAGUGGAAAGCUCAUCAAGUGACGGUAACUACCCAGAAAGGGACGGCUAACUACGUG
rnacentral:rRNA from 1 species